GACGAACGCUGGCGGCGUGCUUAAUACAUGCAAGUCGAACGCAUUUUCUUUCAUUGUGUCUUGUUCUCCCGAAAGAAAAUGAGUGGCGAACGGGUGAUUAACUCCUCGUUAAUUUGCCCAUCAUCGGGGGAUCACACUUGAAAACCGGUGCUAAUACCGCAUAAUUCCAUUUACUGCAUGGUGUUUGGGUGAUAGGCGAUUUUCCCUCACUGUUUGAUGUUCUUGCUGUGCAUUUGCCUGUUGGUGGGGUAACGGCCUACCCAGGCUGCGAUGCAUAGCCGACCUGAGAGGGUGAGCGGCCACACUGGGACUGAGACACGGCCCAGACUCCUACGGGAGGCAGCAGUAGGGAAUCUCCGGCAAUGGACGCAAGUCUGACCGAGCAACGCCGCGUGAGUGAAGAAGGUUUUCGGAUCGUAAAACUCUGUUGUUAGAAAAGAACAAGGAUGAGAGUGGAAAGUUCAUCCCUUGACGGUAUCUAACCAGAAAGCCACGGCUAACUACGUG
rnacentral:rRNA from 1 species